AUGGAGCCCAAGUUGGUCUCCAUUGGCAAGGUGGCUGCUGAGUUCAACCUUGCUACUUCUGGUUCUGAUGAUGUGUUGGCUGUUAAAAAGGGUGCCACAUUGACGACAUGGGACGAUGCCAUUGUUCAUGCCCCCUCUAAGCUGAUCAAAGGUCUGCUUGUCAUGCCUUCGAUCACCCAAGGUUUGAGCCGCCUUGUCAAUGAGAGUAAAGUCAAGAAUGUCAACCAGGGGAUUAAUGUCGCCUUGGGCAAUGUGACAACCUUGCAAGAUGUUAGUCUCAAGGAUGUGUUUCUUGCUCUGGUGUUUUUUCUUUAUUUUGGGAGUAGUCGGCUUGAGAUUUGUGUUGUGUGA
rnacentral:rRNA from 1 species